UCACUGAACUGUGACUUAUAGCCACUAAAGUUCACCACUCUGUGGACUCCUACUCCAUCCUAUAGGACCUCCUGAUUUGCCUUGAGCUUCAGGAGGAACCAUGAAGUCAAUCAAGGAAUAAAGGAAAAACCAAAGGAAAUAGGAGAAGGUAGAAAACAGAGUGGUGUUGCUUGAGACCCCGACCAAGACCCUUAUGGGCAGAGCGUGAUUGAUGGACUCUAAACUCAGUCCUGUCAUCUCUGGAUGCAGCCAGAUCUGAAAAGGCUCCCUCCUUGCUGCUCAGUAAUGACCACCUCCAAUCCAGUCAGGGGCGCUGAAAGCAACAUUUUCUAAAAUUUUUUAGGACACAGGAGAAUUGACAGCCAGCUGUGAUGAAAGAAUGUUGUUGAGGAACUUAACAAGCUAAGAGGUAUCUAGCACUCUUGGAUCAGAAGAUUUGGCCAAAGGUGGACGUCAUUGCCACCACCACUGCCAC